rnacentral:lncRNA from 1 species
CUGGGCCAGGUCGGUUUUCAAGUAGGGGGAGGGGACUUGGAGGAGCCCAGCGGCUCCUGGCCGGAGCUGACCCCUGGGCUUCUCCCUGCCUUCCCGGGCGAGGAAGCCUCUCCUGCGCUUCGCUGCCUGCGCGCCAGCUGCCACCCUCCUGGAGAAAGACCGCACCUCUGCUCCGUCGCGCUCCGGAAUAGAGCAUCUUCUAGAAUAACCGAUGCUAGUAAGAGCGAUUCUCGGAAAGCUCCAGAAUGCGUCUGGAACGUUCUUAACCAUCACUGCCCCUCGUCCUGUUAAGAGAGGCGACCGGCUCCUGCGCCAGACGGAGCGAGACGCUGCCACCGCCCGAGAGCGCACAGGGUCGGGGUAGAGGCGUCUACCGCCUGGGGCUGCCGGGCCUGGAGCGCGUCUUUCCCAGUAAGGAGCACUCUGCAUGUUAAAGGGCUCCCCAACCACUCGAAGGGCGCCUGGGGUCAGGGCGGGGCGCCAGCCGCUCUAGUGCAGGCUGGGGAAACCUGGGACGCUUUGCUGGGCUUCCUCCGAGUCACGCGGCCCUUGCACGGUAGAAAUUGUGCAAUGGCUAGGCGGGCGGGAGAAGCGGGGGACGAGGUCACCGUGCCAACUGCUCUAUUUUUAUUUUUUUUUUUUUUUUUUUCCCUUGUAACUUUUUUUCCCCCUAGGUUGCCUUGCGCGGCGCGAGGCGCUACGCCGCGACCGGAACACCGGGUUCCCAGCUGAUGCCCGAAGCCCCGGCCAAAACCCAACGCCUUCCGCAGGGGCGGGUGGGUGCGUCCUCGGGCUGGAGCGGAGCCUCCGGUCCCCGCGGCGCUCCCCGGUACCGACAGCGGGCGAGGAGGAACCUGGGUCCGCCUACGGCAGGAGCCCAGGGACUGCCCACAGCGCUGCAUCGCGGCGGAAGGCCAAGCUGCGAAUGGCGAGCCCGUGCCUCGACACCGGCGUCCACUAGGCUUCGCUGGGAGCAGCCGCUUCUUGGCUUCCCCACCGCAGUGAGCGGCGACCGGGUAGCCGAUGGGACAGGUGCGCUGUGA